rnacentral:rRNA from 12 species
GAAAUUGGGGAAUUUUGAUUAAGUUUGCCAGAGAAGUUGGAAGAUGGGAUAAAAAUAUGUUGUAAAGAUUCUAGCAAAAGGAUUACUGAUAAGGAACUAAAUGUUUAAGUUUAGCAGGCCCAUACCUCACGAAGUUGCAGUGCUUAGCACGCAUACUUAUAAAUAAUACAAAAUGCACAGCAAUAACGAGUAUCCUGAGCAAACAGCCAUCCUUUAUUAAGCAACCUUCUCCUUCUUCCUGGCAUCCUUCGUUAUUGAUUGAGCG